UAUCUCACUGCUCUCUUGUACUUCUCUCUUGCAGGUAGGCAGUGUGUCAUCCCAGAUUCUUACAGGGCAUUCAGCCUUAUUAGAUUACCCAAAUUACUGCAGGUCACAGCUGAGAUGCAUUAGAGGAAUUUAAUAGGAAAGCUCACCCAAUAUAGGCUCUGCUGUUCUUAUGGCUUCUUAUUGCCUUCAUAAGAAGUGAGGGAGAUUACUGAAAGACAUAUUUAUAAAAUAUCCAGUGCAGUGCAGCUACACUCCAGGUUUAUGCCAAAUUAGGUGUUGAACCUGAAUGAAUUCGGGCAUCUGCUGCAGUGCAGAUUACAGGUCACUCUGUGACCUCACACAUGGAGGUUGGCCUCCUCCUGCUUUGUUUAAUCCAUCUACAAAAUUGAGAAAAACAAGGACCUCCAUGAAGAAACAGGAUCCAUUGCAAAGCACAUCCAGAACAGGAAGACCUUUAUUCUUUCUUACUCAUGAGAAAGAUCUGUCAAGUCAGUGAGUGGUUUGAUUGAAUGAGAGCAGUGAAACUGCUCUCUGUGGUGGAAGAUUUUUAAGAAGAGAGGAGCCCAUGCUGCAUGCCUGAGGACACUUGGCCUUAUAACCCUUGCUUGGGUAAUACAGACAGCCAGAGUGGACCCAAGCAGCUAAAAGAGACAAAUGUGUUGUGGAUGAAAAGGAAAAGAGAGUCAGUGAAUAUUAAA